GACAGAGGGUGCAAACGUUGUUCGGAAUUACUGGGCGUAAAGCGCGUGUAGGCGGCCCGGAAAGUCGGAUGUGAAAGCCCUGGGCUUAACCUAGGAAGUGCAUUCGAAACUCUCGGGCUUGAGUUCUGGAGAGGAAGGCGGAAUUCUCGGUGUAGAGGUGAAAUUCGUAGAUAUCGAGAGGAACACCGGUGGCGAAGGCGGCCUUACUGGACAGUGACUGACGCUGAGACGCGAAAGCGUGGGGAGCAAACAGGG
rnacentral:rRNA from 1 species